GGUGAACGCUGGCGGUAGGCCUAACACAUGCAAGUCGAACGGCAGCACAGUAAGAGCUUGCUCUUACGGGUGGCGAGUGGCGGACGGGUGAGGAAUACAUCGGAAUCUACUUUUUCGUGGGGGAUAACGUAGGGAAACUUACGCUAAUACCGCAUACGACCUACGGGUGAAAGCAGGGGAUCUUCGGACCUUGCGCGAUUGAAUGAGCCGAUGUCGGAUUAGCUAGUUGGCGUGGUAAAGGCCCACCAAGGCGACGAUCCGUAGCUGGUCUGAGAGGAUGAUCAGCCACACUGGAACUGAGACACGGUCCAGACUCCUACGGGAGGCAGCAGUGGGGAAUAUUGGACAAUGGGCGCAAGCCUGAUCCAGCCAUACCGCGUGGGUGAAGAAGGCCUUCGGGUUGUAAAGCCCUUUUGUUGGGAAAGAAAAGCAGCAGGUUAAUACCCCGCUGUUCUGACGGUACCCAAAGAAUAAGCAUCGGCUAACUUCGUG
rnacentral:rRNA from 1 species